rnacentral:misc_RNA from 1 species
CUUUCUCUUUAGACGAGAAAUUUUUGACAUUAAUUAUUUCGAAGAACAUUCGAAUACAAAUAUGAUCUACUAGAUUGUACUAGAUUGCAAUGUGCUCAGUUGGCAGUUGUCAAAACAAGAAACUUUAGCGAUGGAUGGAAGCGCGAAGAAUGCCGGCGAUUCGCAGUUUAUAUCGUUUGACGAACUGACUGCAGAUGUCCAUUUGGGUACAAAUCAAGCUCAACUCGAGAUAAAUCCCUCUGGUCAUCAAGGUUUCGGUAACCUGAACAAUGAUCCUUCUGGGAUUGGUGCCAUCGAGGAUCUUCAGGACACGCCUGAUAAGAGCCAAGCUUCCUCGCAACCUAGUUUCUGGACCAUCGAGUAUUAUAAAAAAUUCUUCGAUGUCGAUACCAAUGACGUAGUGGAACGUAUUAAAAGGUCGAUGGCUCCUCACAUUUCAGGGAAUUACUUGGAGACGCACAUUCGUCCUAGGCCAGAUUUGUAUGGUCCAUUUUGGAUAUGCGUAACUCUGGUAUUUGCGUUAGGGAUAAGCGAAAAUAUGGCCAAUUACUUGUAUACCGCUGCCUCUGGGACGUACCAUUGGAGGUAUGACUUUCACAUUGUUUCUUAUGCGGCGACGUUGAUAUUCUUGUAUGCCUGGCUUCUACCUAUUGCGCUCUGGGGAGCGUUAAAGUGGACCAGCAGCGAAUCCCAUAAUGAAACCGAGUUAAUAGAGCAAGUUCCACUAACCCCUGGCCUUUUGGAGUUACUAUGUUUAUACGGAUACUCUUUGGCGAUUUACAUUCCAGUUGCAUUUUUUUGGACCAUACAGAUCACGUGGCUACAGUGGGCAUUAGUCGGGGUAGCGGCGCUUUUAUCCGGGGGUGUUUUGUUGCAGUCGCUGCUUCCAUUUAUAAAAGGAAAACAUAAGCCUAUUUACUUUACUGUCAUUUUGGGAUUGCACGUACUACUGGCGGCUGGAUUCAUGCUGUACUUUUUCCAUUUCCCUUCGAAGAAAUCGGUUACACCGCAGGGUGUUGUUGUACCUUCCGUGACAGUGGCUAGUGUAGUCGCUAAAGCAAUAUCCGACGCCAGUGUUGUGAAUGCGACGCAUAAUCCACACUGACUGUGACCGUUCCCUAUGCACGAUGCAAUAUUCAUAACUCGUUCCAUAUCUGGAGUAACCCGAUAACUGCUUCUUGUCACUACAAGAUGUGACUUAUCUCGUCAUCAGAGGAACUUCUGCUUCCUGUCUCAAUCUUUGUCUGUUCUUCGACGUAGACAGACAGUACUUUGUAUCGUAAUGUAACUGUAAAUUAUUACUUUCUGUAAAUGAUUAAAUCUCUAAAUAAACGGGCCAGAAAACAAGGGAUUAUUAUCAUUAAUUAGAAUGGCGUUCAAUAUGAAUUUUCAGUGAUAUGAAAGACAUUAAGCGAAAACUUUUUUGCUAACCGUAAGUCACUCUUAACCAGGUAUAUAAUUCAUGGUCAGAGAAGAAGUCGAUUUAAGUAAAGACGCGAAGAGGGGUCGAGUGCCGGUUGAUUUAUUCUGCCCUAUUAUAAAAUAGGAACGUGUUACACCAACAUAACACACAUUCACAAUACGAGUCUUUACCAUUCUCCACGUAAUUACUUUAAAUGUAACGGAUUACCUAAAUAAUCAAUCGUACACAAUCUAAUUAGAUUCUCGUUCACCUCCUUUAACCAAUGUGACGAAAGGCAACAUUCACUUUGUGAUAGCAAGUAUCGUUACGUUAUCAUCAAUGUACGUAAUAUCGUAACAAUGAUUUGUUAAUAUCAAUAGACAUCGUAAUCAGUAUGCGGUGUUAAAUAGCGUUAUCUCUCCCUUCUGGAGGAACCUCGCAACGCGGAUUUCCUUCUACUGAACGUUUCAUGGCAAAAUGCACAAGAUAAAGAAACUUUUGUUAUGUACAAAAUCUGAGCCGCGAUCCUCGGACCUCUUAUACCGGAAUCUUUAAAUGAAAGAUGAAAAAUUGAACGAAACGUAAUUAUCUAGAAAGAUGUUAGGAAGGAAAUUAAGGGAAGAAAGGAAGGAAAAGAUGGUUCGCGUCGCGAGAUUCCUCGGUACAAUGGAUUCAUCCUCCCCGUAUAAAGUACGAAAAUUCUACGUGCAAAAGCCCUUAGAUCUAAAAAGAGCCGAGCCUACCGCAGUCGCUCGCACAGCUCUUAAAAAUUAAGCCGAGGUGCGAAUUCAACAGGUAUUUUGUCUGCGUAUUGUACACUCGUCGAAUGGAGAUUGGCUUUCUUCGGCUUUAAGGGUCAACCAAGGGUAACGUCUUCUUGCGGUCCCAGGGCCGCGUCUCGGCCAAGAAGAAACUCCAAAGUGACUUUUUACCAGCUGAACUUACUUAAACACUUUAGAUUUUGUUAAUCCUUUAGAUCACGGUGAGAAGAAAGCGUCGGUCGAGGGAAUUGCGUUCGAACAAACGAGACUUGAUAAAAGAAAUGAUUCCUCUUACUCCUACUUACCGUCGAAGAAAACAAGAUGGCGGCGCACCCGUCGCCCACCGCGAGCUCGAAUCGUCACAUCUACCUCGUGUUUUCCAGUCUUUCCGUUUUCCCCGGGACAUAUCUUGCCUAGAAAUAGGUGUAAGUGAUUGAUAAGCAUAUUAUUUAGACCGAGAUAUCGCUUGCUAAUGUAGGAAAUGACGUUUGUUUUUCCAUCAACUCAAAGGACGUCGCGUAACGGGAUGCGCCGCCAUUUUGUUCCCCGCUCGUUGUGGCUCUUGAAGCCAAGGUUAGUCGCGAUUAAAAUUCGAUUGAAACCGCUUUAGUGGCGCGUCUGUCAAUGUUGGCUUCAAAGAUCGUCCGCGACGUCCAUGCGUACAUAAUCAAAGCCUCGAGGUGAUGCAAUAUUGUGCCUUUAAUUCUCAUAAAAAUCGUUUCAGUUCUGCCAGACAGCUCGACCACCUGACGAGGAACGGCCACUGUCGACAAGCUUUUAAACGCCUGUCAAUCGUCGGAAUAUCGACGUUACACCGAAAGAUACCGCUAAGGGUCUACCUUUUUGGCUAAUCGUGGAAAGUCUAAUUUUAACGUUCGCUCGAAAGCGGCGGUUAGUCGAGGAUGCAUCGAUCGCGAGGUGAGCGCUUAAAAGUAGCAUCGAGUACCAAGUAAAUCUCCGAAAAUCCGUUACUCCGAAUGGUUCGUGUGUUUUUAAAAGUGCAAUUCAUCUUUAAUGUUCAUAAACAUAUCCGAUACAUACAUCUUAGCCGACACAGGAUUCGUCGUUAAGAUGCGCGCGCACAUUGGUAACAUGGCGCGAAACUCUGUCGAGUUUCCAGACGUCGCAGACAACUCGAGUUCCUCUCCAGGCGAUUUCCUAAAUUUCGAGGAGUCUCUCCCCAAUCGAUGCACCCUCGUCCCGCAAAGGAGACCGACAUUCUACGUACUUCUAUAAAUACUUUACUUAGAUUUUGGCGAGUGCCCGCAACGACUUGGUCCGACGUGUUAAUAUACAGUCAAGAUUCGUAAUAGGCAGGAGGAAGAUCGGUAAACCCGGGAUAAACUGUCGAGUGAGGUCCCUGCUCCUCGAGGAGAUCGAAAUCUGACUUUUCAGUGGACGACGGUCCUUCCUAAAUAAACUCCAACGAUCGACAAAGAUGGCUACAAGCGAGGAUAAAUCACAGCGAUUUGUAGCCUGCGCUUAACCCCUUCCCUUACGAUCUAAUUUCCAACUGUGCGGGCCAAAAGCGACACCAAGGUCGGUUCGAUAACCUUGCGACGCCUCUGAGGCGUCAUUGUAAGCUAAGGGGUUAAACCGAGUCUCUUUUAUUAUCCUAUACCCUUUACGAGAUAGAUCAAUCUGUACAGAUCGGUUUGCUCGGAUUUUUUCCGCAGAGAUUUAUCCUAACGUAUGUAGCCAUCCGACGUUCUCGUGGAUAAGAAGUCAGCUCGAGACUCCUAGAGUCGCACCGAUAUAUCUCAAGUAGCCUCAAAUCAUCCGAAAAAUUCUGAGGACUGACUCGUCGUAGAGCACUUUCUCCUAUGGCUUAGGAUCGACUCGGUGAUUACCGUGACUAUUUAUUAAUUAAUAUUUACAGCAAGUCGCGCCGCUAGGAACAUCCACGCGGUCUCGUUCCCCGAUGCUAGAACGUGUCGUUCCGUUACCCUGGUUUAUUUAAUCAGUUUGAAAUCGGAUCGUUAAGGAGACCGACGAGGCGGUGCAACGCGAUGCAACUGAAAACUGCACAGCAACGAAUCCGAGGGACGGACGGAAAAGAUGCCGUGUCGCAUCAAUUUGGACAGAUCCAUUAACUCGUCUCCCGAUCGUCGCCAUUAUCAAGAGCGGUUAUAAACAAUUAUUUGCAAUAUGAGUUCACCAACGAAGGCAGUUCCUCGAGACCAAUUGUCGGAAAACAACGUGAACGUGAUAAACGAAAGGUGGCUAGACAAGUAACGAUAAAUCGUAGCGAUUUGCAGAUCAGAUUGUACAUAUAAGAUUUUAUAAAUUUAUCAUUACGUGUAAUAAUGUUACCCAACAAUAGAAACUCAAGGAACCAACUCGUCGGUAAUCCCGAUGAAGAGUCGCCUUAAGAAUCCGUUCGGAGCACAGGCAUUUCUCGAUAAGUAAGCGGAAGUUCUUCGCACCGUUCCCAUUCGUGCAUUUCAACGAGAGAACAAAAGGUCGGCGAUGAACAAAGAUGACGUAAAUUAAGUCGUUCCCAGAAGCGAGCAACACAGGGGGCAAAUAAAAAGCAAGCGAGCGUCAAGAAUGGACGUCGAGUCAGCGGUAUAUGGAAAGGACGCGGAGACGCGCGAGGUGCGGGAUAGAAAUCAUGAAAAGAUCCGAUACGACGAGCGUAUAAACCAGGAAAAUGUGACAGAAAAGACACGUCGCUUCGUUUGACCAUUCGAAGUACUCGAGCCGACGUGUGGUCCGCCGUAACUCUCGCACCUCUAUUUAUUAUCGUCUAACAUAAGGUCCCUGUUACGUUGCGGUAUCGUUUUUCGCUUUUUUUCGCCUUUGCAUCCUCUUCGAUUGUAUAUAAUAUAUGUGUAUAUAUAUAUAAUAUAUUUAUAUAUAUCUCGCGGGCUUCGAAAAUAUCACGCCUCCCGAAGCUUGGUUGAUUCACCUUAA